rnacentral:siRNA from 1 species
UAUCAGUGUCAAGCCUCUUCC